rnacentral:tRNA from 1 species
GCCGGUGAGCGCGCGGGUGCGGCCUGGAUUCCAACACCAAGGUCCGCUGGUUCGACUCCAGCCACCGGUGCCA